GCGGGUUUAGCUCAGUUGGGAGAGCGUCAGACUGAAGUUAAACUUCAAUCAACCGAUAUCUGAAGGUCGUGUGUUCGAUCCACACAAACCGCA
rfam:Fusarium oxysporum f. sp. cubense race 4 unplaced genomic scaffold scaffold111, whole genome shotgun sequence.